rnacentral:tRNA from 2 species
AUAUUUUAAAGCAAAAUUGCCUUCAUAAUAACUUCAAUAUUAAGCUUUAUAAUAAGCUAUUAAAAUA